UGAGUAACCUGCCCUUAACUCUGGGAUAAGCCUGGGAAACUGGGUCUAAUACCGGAUAUGACUCCUCAUCGCAUGGUGGGGGGUGGAAAGCUUUAUUGUGGUUUUGGAUGGACUCGCGGCCUAUCAGCUUGUUGGUGAGGUAAUGGCUCACCAAGGCGACGACGGGUAGCCGGCCUGAGAGGGUGACCGGCCACACUGGGACUGAGGCACGGCCCAGACUCCUACGGGAGGCAG
rnacentral:rRNA from 1 species